AGAGUUUGAUCCUGGCUCAGGAUGAACGCUGGCGGCGUGCCUAAUACAUGCAAGUCGAGCGAACGGACGAGAAGCUUGCUUCUCUGAUGUUAGCGGCGGACGGGUGAGUAACACGUGGAUAACCUACCUAUAAGACUGGGAUAACUUCGGGAAACCGGAGCUAAUACCGGAUAAUAUUUUGAACCGCAUGGUUCAAAAGUGAAAGACGGUCUUGCUGUCACUUAUAGAUGGAUCCGCGCUGCAUUAGCUAGUUGGUAAGGUAACGGCUUACCAAGGCAACGAUGCAUAGCCGACCUGAGAGGGUGAUCGGCCACACUGGAACUGAGACACGGUCCAGACUCCUACGGGAGGCAGCAGUAGGGAAUCUUCCGCAAUGGGCGAAAGCCUGACGGAGCAACGCCGCGUGAGUGAUGAAGGUCUUCGGAUCGUAAAGCUCUGUUAUUAGGGAAGAACAUAUGUGUAAGUAACUGUGCACAUCUUGACGGUACCUAAUCAGAAAGCCACGGCUAACUACGUGCCAGCAGCCGCGGUAAUACGUAGGUGGCAAGCGUUAUCCGGAAUUAUUGGGCGUAAAGCGCGCGUAGGCGGUUUUUUAAGUCUGAUGUGAAAGCCCACGGCUCAACCGUGGAGGGUCAUUGGAAACUGGAAAACUUGAGUGCAGAAGAGGAAAGUGGAAUUCCAUGUGUAGCGGUGAAAUGCGCAGAGAUAUGGAGGAACACCAGUGGCGAAGGCGACUUUCUGGUCUGUAACUGACGCUGAUGUGCGAAAGCGUGGGGAUCAAACAGGAUUAGAUACCCUGGUAGUCCACGCCGUAAACGAUGAGUGCUAAGUGUUAGGGGGUUUCCGCCCCUUAGUGCUGCAGCUAACGCAUUAAGCACUCCGCCUGGGGAGUACGACCGCAAGGUUGAAACUCAAAGGAAUUGACGGGGACCCGCACAAGCGGUGGAGCAUGUGGUUUAAUUCGAAGCAACGCGAAGAACCUUACCAAAUCUUGACAUCCUUUGACAACUCUAGAGAUAGAGCUUUCCCCUUCGGGGGACAAAGUGACAGGUGGUGCAUGGUUGUCGUCAGCUCGUGUCGUGAGAUGUUGGGUUAAGUCCCGCAACGAGCGCAACCCUUAGGCUUAGUUGCCAUCAUUAAGUUGGGCACUCUAAGUUGACUGCCGGUGACAAACCGGAGGAAGGUGGGGAUGACGUCAAAUCAUCAUGCCCCUUAUGAUUUGGGCUACACACGUGCUACAAUGGACAAUACAAAGGGCAGCGAAACCGCGAGGUCAAGCAAAUCCCAUAAAGUUGUUCUCAGUUCGGAUUGUAGUCUGCAACUCGACUACAUGAAGCUGGAAUCGCUAGUAAUCGUAGAUCAGCAUGCUACGGUGAAUACGUUCCCGGGUCUUGUACACACCGCCCGUCACACCACGAGAGUUUGUAACACCCGAAGCCGGUGGAGUAACCUUUUAGGAGCUAGCCGUCGAAGGUGGGACAAAUGAUUGGGGUGAAGUCGUAACAAGGUAGCCGUAUCGGAAGGUGCGGCUGGAUCACCU
rnacentral:rRNA from 1 species